CCCAAAUGUUAACUGGCUCCCUCUCUGUCUCCAGAACAGGGACAACUACAUCCGCUCCUGUAAGCUCCUCCCUGAUGGCCGCACCCUGAUUGUGGGCGGUGAGGCCAGCACGCUGACCAUCUGGGACCUGGCCUCUCCGACGCCACGUAUCAAGGCGGAGCUCACCUCCUCGGCCCCCGCCUGCUACGCACUGGCCAUCUCCCCGACGCCAAAGUCUGCUUCUCCUGCUGCAGUGAUGGGAACAUCGCCGUCUGGGACCUGCACAACCAGACCCUGGUCAGGCAGUUCCAGGGCCACACGGACGGCGCCAGCUGUAUCGACAUCUCCCACGACGGGACCAAGCUGUGGACCGGAGGUCUGGACAACACCGUCCGCUCAUGGGACCUGAGGGAGGGACGCCAGCUCCAGCAGCAUGACUUCACCUCCCAGAUCUUCUCUCUAGGCUACUGCCCCACAGGGGAGUGGCUGGCAGUGGGCAUGGAGAGCAGCAACGUGGAGGUUCUCCAUCACACCAAGCCGGACAAGUACCAGCUCCACCUGCAUGAGAGCUGCGUCCUCUCGCUGAAGUUCGCCUACUGUGGUAAAUGGUUUGUGAGCACGGGGAAGGACAACCUCUUGAAUGCCUGGAGGACUCCAUACGGUGCCAGUAUAUUCCAGUCAAAGGAGUCCUCUUCCGUCCUGAGCUGCGACAUCUCUGCAGACGACAAGUACAUCGUGACGGGCUCUGGAGACAAGAAGGCCACAGUGUACGAGGUGAUCUACUAGAAACACCAGUUUGACCCCUCCUCCUAGUGGCCUGACGAGGGGAGCUGCUAGCCCCUCCUCCUCCUCUUACUUCACUCACCACACCCCCUAACCUCAAAGACCACCAGGGAUUGGACUACAGACCAUGUCGGCUCCCGGAUUGGUGCUCAGAAGGCACCAUGAACUCUGCUUGGCAGUUGGCCUGGCCAUGAUUGGCUAUCGGGUGCAGACUGUAACCCAAUGGGCACUGAAGAUGUAAAUUGUCUUGCUGUUUUUUGAUCUGUUCCUGGGCCUGUUUCUGAGGGUUUAUUUUUGAAGGUGAUGAUUGUUUCUGUAAUGUGACUGGAUGAAGCGGUGCUUUGUCUUUACAACAGUUGCUCCCUGGACGUCUUGUGAAAAUUGUACAUAAUGGAGUAAUAAAGACAUUUUAUAUAUAUAUAUUAUAAAUAUAUAUAUCUAUUUUCAUG